GACCCGGAAGUACCGACCUCAAAAACACCCUUUCCGCUUCCGGGUCCCCACAGCCUUCUCCCCCCCCCCCUUUUUUUUAAAAAGUGUCCCGCCGAAGGUUGGGGGGAAAGGAAAAAAAGAAAGAAAAAAGAGGAAUGAAAUCAACAAAAUACGCAACGCAAAAAAAGUCCAGAUUUUCGCGGGGUUUUGUCAACUUCGCCACAGCCGCGCGCAAGUCGACGUCAUCACGUGAAGCUAUGCCCCGCCCUUACUCUCUGCCCCGCCGCGGUUUUCAGGAGCGCCGACUUUUCGCCGCGGAAGCGGCCACUGGGGUUUGCGGAGGCGGGAGGCCUGACGCUCCAGCCCCGCCCCACUCGGGGUGCCGCGCGCGGGCGUAAUGGCCCCACCCCAUGGGCCAGAGAAGGAAGCGGAAAAAGCGGCAUGUGGAGUGGAAAGACUACGGCGCAACUGGGUGCGCUCCCCUCCAAAAAAUGGUGGGGAAGCAAGAGCUUCUGCUGCUCCGGGGUUGGAAGGACACUCGGUACCUGGACGCUGGGCCAGCGGCUCCGCGCGGGUACGCAGCGCUCAAACCAGGGAGGCGGAGCCUGCUUUCCCGAGAUACUACUUCCCAAGCUAUGGGCAGAGGAUUUUGCCGUUAAGAGGAAAAUAGUGUCCGGGUUCAUCUAGGCAGUGGGAUGCUUAAAUACCAAGAGAAUGACUUUAAAUGCUGCUGGAUGGAACUGCCACUCACCGCUAGAAAUCGGGGAUCGACAGCAAACUCUGGAUGACCCUGUAACCACAUCUCCAGUUCAGCCCGGCGAGGGGCAUCCUCACCCACCAGCAAAGUACCAUCCACCUUAUUGAUGACAGGGAUCCGGGUCUCCAGGUCCACAUCAAGGUGAUUAGGCUCUUCCAUGCACUCCACCUCCAGCUGCAAACCCAGAAUCCACCCCCAUGAGCAUAUACUCUUCUUUGGGGCAGGAAGAGAGAGGGAGUGGAGCCAUUGGUAGCCAUAAGAUAACUAAAAUAUCUUCCAGUCCCUCAAUCCCAACUGCCUUCAUCAAUUACUGGGAAUAAAAAGAUCUUAUCUAAUCAUCGUGUUAAAAAGCUUCACCACCACUCACCUCCACAAGCUUCUUUCUGUUCCCCUUCUUCUUGUGGAACAGUGGAUGUCCAUCUCCCAUUACUCCAUUAGCCAUCAGCUUGUGCUUCUGGAAUGUUAACUUCAAUCCUUCCUCCUAGGAAGACACGCCACACACCCGAGACAUCAUAUAGCACAGGUUUUUAAAGUACAGAGUAAAUCUUGGGGGACCUGGGCUAAGGGUCACCCCCUUGGAUCAAUGAUGGUGAAAAGAAAAGCCAUCUGACUAAAGGGUAGAAGUUGGAAAUAUGAUUAAACUUAUAUACUUUUUUCCUUAGAAAGAUUUCGUUUGUGAACCUACUGGCCCUCAGGUAGAUUUAAAAGAAGUAGAAUUUACCUCAGUAACACCCAAUGCAGGGUAAAACCCCCUACCUGGUGUCUCAGUACUGGCAUUGCAACCAAUACCCAAUGCAGGGUAAACCCCCCUAACCUGGUGUCUCAGUACUAGCAUGGCAACUCAUCACAGGGGCAAAAUCCCGAUAGUGCUGUCAUAUACUAAUUUAAGAACUUUUCUUGUUUAAGUACUCAAUGGCCAAUUAAUAUGGUUCAAAGCAAAAAAAUAACACUGAUAUAAUUCAGGCAGGAAUGAUUCCUUUUAUUUUUAAUAAGGCCCACAAUGCUUAAGUAUUGUUUUAACAGCCUUCUCACAAUUUUAUUUAGCUUUUAAAAACCAGCUUUAGAACUAGAAAUGAGUCAACCAAAAAGAAUCCUUUUGUCAAUUAAAUUUUCUUCAAAAAUAUGACUUAUUUUAAUCGAGUUCUCAUGUUAUACAAGUUAAGAACUCUUCCCUUACUUGAACAACUUUUCCUAAUCUUUGUGACUCUAUAACCGUUUUUUUCCCCUCCUCUUCACAGUUCUACCCUGACGUGUGGAGUUGCCGUGAGCCAGCGUUGACUUGACAGCAACGAGUAUGGCAAAUUUAGCUAAUCAAAUGAGUUCAGUAUCCUGUUAGUGAAACUAUUAGCGAGAAUUACAGCCUCCUUCCUCCCUUCCCAGUGCCUAAAUGCUGGGCUUACAUCUUUGAUCUGAACUGUAAACUCCUUCUCAUCCAUGCCUCGGCGAAGUUUGGUGAACUGGGCUGCUGCUGCACUGACCGCAGAUGCUUCCUCCUCUGCCAUGGAAGCUGCACUGCUGCUUCGUGGCGUGGGGACUGGAGAGUCACCAUAUUCUCCGGGGGUCAAUGAGGGACUGUCUAGCAAGUGGUUGCCUGGCCCCAGAAUUCCUCCUGUUACCAUUUCCUGGCUCCGACGGCUAGAAGGCCACUUCCCUGAGAGUACAGCCUGGCAGACGAGGUCAAUACGGUUUAUCAAGACACGAUCCUGAUGGGGAAAAACAAAUCAAUACUGGUUUUAGGGCCUGAGAACCUGUCUGUGAUCCUGUGCAAACAAUAGUGCUGUCAUUACUAGUGUGGGUAAAAAUCAAAAGGCAGAAGGAUGGAGGUAAUCCAAUCUAUCAGAUCACUUAUGUCAGCCUUGAGGACUUCUAUGAAAAAGCAUGUAGCACUAAAUGCAAUUAAUAAAGAAAACUGGAACCUCUGUUCUUUGUUCCCUAUAUAUAAUGUUACAUUGUAUUUCUGAACUUGACAUGUCCAGGAAUGAGGCUGUUACCUUGGGCCACUCAGAGGCUCUUUGUCUUUCCUGAAGCAUCAGAAGCUCCGGGGUCAUUUGUUCUCCAUCUUCAUUUGGGAAUCCAUCUUGGGACAUAGUGAGGGACAGGAGACUCUCUUCAUCAUAGAGCUUUGAGCGGGAUGGGUCAGCAGCUGGAGAUCACAUAGAAUGUGUGAGCAAAGAUGGAAGAAGAAAGUUAUAUAGGAAUGGCAUUAUGUGGGCCAUAAAUGAAGGGCCCCAAACUAACGUAACUCUUUUGACAUUCUAUUAAAUCAAAAUCUGAGUCUCUGUCAGAGGAUGCAUUAGAAAAAAAAGGAAAGAGCAGAGAGGUGGAAAAUAGGUAAGAGGGCCAACUACUGUCACAUGCACUCACUUAGCUUCUCUUCCUUCUCGUCCUCACUCUCAUCAGUGCUGGAGCUGGAGCUGGAUGAGGAUGAGGAAGAAGAGGAUGACGGUGACAGCUUGCUCAAGUCCAGCUCAGAGUCUGAAUCGUCCUCGUCCUCCAGUUUGACUGGUGGAACACUCCGAGAAACCAGAGGUGCAGUAUCAGAGGAGGUUACUCGCAUCUCAUAGUCUUGUGGGGUUGGUCGGCUCCUGCCCACUACCUCAUGCUCUAGCUUUAAGGUUAGACUCUCCAGACUGGGGACCUGGGCAGCUGUCUCCUCAGGUGGCUUUUCAACAGGAGCCUCUAGGCGCAGGGGCAGUGGUGAGGCAGUGCGCGAGGUAUACUGCUGGUGUAGCAGUGGAGUAGAGCAGCGUGAUAGGGAUGGAGCUGGUGCUCCUGCCUGAUAGUUCUGCAUAUAAUUCAUACGGGCAGCCAGAAAAGAGAAGUCUGGGUCCUGCAUAAUGUUGCAGUCUGUUUGGCUCACCCCAUGGCGGGCUGCCCCUCGUAGAAGUUCUCCAUCAUGCCGAAUAGGCUCCCACCAUUUGGGCAACUCAGGACCUGGAGGCUGACAUAAUGACAGCCUGUCUUCCAAAAGAGGAUGGCACAAAACUUGUUCCCGUAAGCGCCGAAGCAAUUCAAUACGGUAGAGAGUCCGCGAGGCCCUCUCUUCAGUGAUGGGCUCAAUGAACAGAUUAGGGUCUGGGGGUUCUGCAAGAGAUAGGGUGGAAGGAAAAAUGAACCAAGAGUUGGUUCUGUUGCCAUCCACUCUCAGUCACCCUAGAAUCUCCAAGUCUCACUCACCAUCACCAGCUGCAGGGGGAAGACGGCACACCUGGCGGCACAUGGCCACGAAGCCAUGGAAGUACUUGGUAAGGCUUUCGUCUGUUUUUUUGUCCAGUCGGGCAAAAGUGCGGAAGCGAUCCCAAUGAAACUGCAUAGUGUCAGGGUCAUACUCCACACCAAAGGUUGAAACAACUCGAUAGAAAUCAGUUUGUUCACGCCUUGUCCAUCUACAAAGGAAAAAGGAACAUGGAAACAGUGAUCAGGAGACCUCAGGAAAACUGGUUACUUCUUAGAGUAGCUUCAAAUACGCAUGACCCAAAGACGGCCAAUGUUGAAUGCAGAGGCAAAAAAAAAAAAGGUCCAGAAGACAGCAAAAGAAGUAGUAAGAGA